CAUACUUAGCGACCUAAAAACAUCAAGUAGAUAUUUAGUUAAUAAACAACGCCCUUCUCCAUAUUUCGAGAGAUAUGGUAUAUACUGGAAAAUAACUACACAAUCUGAAACAUAGUAUGCAAGUCUGUCAAAAUCAGAACUCAUAAAACAAUAAUACACACCACGUGGGCAUGGCUAUCAUAUCUACUGUCAUUAAGUAAUAUAAUUUUCCUAGCGACUUUCGUUAAGCAAGAAAUACGUGUAAAGGUAUGACAAUUAAGACAUCAAUGAGCAAUCAUACAUGGACAUCAAAAGUAGAUAUCCAAAAUAACUAAGAGUGCAGAAGUUGCGUUUCUCGAAGAACCAGUCUUUGUAGGCUAUAUCCUCGUCGACUGCGCAAAGGUUGGAACGCUACACACACCACCUCACACGGGCGUCGCCGUCGAAGAUUGGCCACCAAUGUAGGUGACAAUUGACCCGUCAUCACUGCUUCCUACAAUGUCUUUCUCAGACCACGUAAAAAAUUGAAAUCAUCGCCAUUGCCGCCUCUAAUGAUUCAGAGUUAAAUUAGUUAAAAUUUUGCAUAUUUAUUUUAUACAGAGACGCAAAUACAAAUUCUAAAGGACCAAAUAAAUGUACAUCUAACGAUGAUUUAAUAAUUUGGCUUAACUUGAUGCAAGGGUUACGACAUCUAACACGAGUUUGUCAUUUUUUUUUAUCCAUGUAUUCUUAAACAUUAUUAGUAAUCGUGUUAUUCUCAUUUACUACUUGCGUAGUUGGCCUAGCUAUACGGUGCCGUGCCUGGGCUUGGAGAAGUCGGUCUACACCGGCCGCAAUCGGGUCAGGCCCAUUUAACCUUAGACCGGCCGGUGCCCGGGCCAGGCCGACCUGAUGGCCACCUAUAGCUAUACCCCCUCUCCUUCUCUUAAAAAAAGAAAAAGAAAAGCUAUAUCCCCUCUCCCCAUCUCCUUGCCGAGCCCCACAGCCCCCUCGCUCCGUUCAUCUUGUUCCUCCUCGCGCGAGCGCCGCCACUCAUCCCGCUGCCGAGCGCCCGAGCCCCCUUCGUCUUCCUCCUCGCUCGAGCGCCUCCGCCGCAGGUUGAUCUCCCCUUCGAUUCUCUCGCUCCCGACCAUUUCUCCUCCCAUCACACCACGAACGAAUUCCGCCCUUUAGAUCCCCGUUUAAUAAUGUUCCCCAAUUCGUAACUGAGGCAAAAUCCAAGGUAGGGCGGGCGCCCUACCUUGCCCUACUGGGUCCUCUGCCCGUGUGUAAUAGUAGGCCGAUAGCCACUAAAAAGAGUGUUGUACCAACAUUGAGAUAUUGAAUAAAGUGUUGAUUUCCUACAAGUAUGAUAAUCCAAGUAAUGUAGCUGUGUAUAAAGGUCUUCAAGAGUGAGGGUUUGGGUCCUCACCGAAAUUCUCUACAAAGGGAGUACAUUUUUAGGAAUUCUGAUCAAAACAAAACUAACUCGAUUGGUUUCACGAUUUUGUAAGCCACCAACUAGCAUUUGAUGAGAUCAAUACAUCUGUAUAGAGUGAUCAACGAGAGCAUUAAUUGACCGAAGAAGUUUUUCAACAUCUCUUUUUGGAUUAGUAAAUUUAAAAAAUAACCCGUAGGAAAACAUAC
rnacentral:lncRNA from 1 species